GAUGAACGCUGGCGGCGUGCUUAACACAUGCAAGUCGAACGAAGCAUUUAGGACAGAUUACUUCGGUUUGAAGUUCUUUAUGACUGAGUGGCGGACGGGUGAGUAACGCGUGGGUAACCUGCCUUGUACUGGGGGAUAGCAGCUGGAAACGGCUGGUAAUACCGCAUAAGCGCACAAUGUUGCAUGACAUGGUGUGAAAAACUCCGGUGGUAUAAGAUGGACCCGCGUCUGAUUAGCUAGUUGGUGAGAUAACAGCCCACCAAGGCGACGAUCAGUAGCCGGCGUGGGAGGGGGACCGGACAGAUUGGGAGUGAGAGACGGCCCGGACGACGAAGGGAGGCAGCAGUGGGGAAGAUUGAACAAUGAGCGGAAGGCUGAUGCAGCAACGCCGCGUGGGGGAUGAAGGCAUUCGGGUUGUAAACAGAUUUCGCCUGUGACGAAGCGUGAGUGACGGUAAUGGGUAAAGAAGAACCGGCUAACUACG
rnacentral:rRNA from 1 species